UGGGCGUAGCAAGCGGUUGCUUUUGAUACAAAAGAGGAAAGUCCGAGCUACAUUAAGACAAGGAUUCCAUUUAACUAAUGGCUAGGGUGACCUAAGGGAAAGUGCAACAGAAAACAACCGCCUAGUUUCUAAUGUUAAGAGUUUGGGGUUUUAGAGUUUGCUGCAAAAUUCUUGAAUUUUUAACAAUGAUUUAUAGGUAAGGGUGAAAAGGUGGAGUAAGAGCCCACCGACUUUUUAGCAAUAUUAAGUGCCGUGCAAACCCAAUUCGUAGCAAGAAGGGUAGGUUAAGAGUCUUAAGCUUUAGUCCUUCGCAUGAGAAGCAAAGUGAUUUGCUUCCUAGAUAAAUAACCGCAUAAACAGAACUCGGCUUAUGCUACGCCCAAGUG
rnacentral:RNase_P_RNA from 1 species